GCCAGGAUGGCCGAGUGGUCUAAGGCGCUGUGUUCAAGAAAGUUGAGCUUCUUCCCUCUAAACAAGGGAGUUCCACAGUAUCGAGAGAUGCUUGGGUUCGAAUCCCAAUCCUGGCA
rnacentral:tRNA from 5 species